rnacentral:rRNA from 3 species
AAAUCCGGUUCACUUUAACACUGAGGCGUGACGACGAGGCACUACGGUGCUGAAGCAACAAAUGCCCUGCUUCCAGGAAAAGCCUCUAAGCAUCAGGUAACAUCAAAUCGUACCCCAAACCGACACAGGUGGUCAGGUAGAGAAUACCAAGGCGCUUGAGAGAACUCGGGUGAAGGAACUAGGCAAAAUGGUGCCGUAACUUCGGGAGAAGGCACGCUGACACGUAGGUGAAGUGAUUUACUCAUGGAGCUGAAGUCAGUCGAAGAUACCAGCUGGCUGCAACUGUUUAUUAAAAACACAGCACUGUGCAAACACGAAAGUGGACGUAUACGGUGUGACGCCUGCCCGGUGCCGGAAGGUUAAUUGAUGGGGUCAGCGCAAGCGAAGCUCCUGAUCGAAGCCCCGGUAAACGGCGGCCGUAACUAUAACGGUCCUAAGGUAGCGAAAUUCCUUGUCGGGUAAGUUCCGACCUGCACGAAUGGCGUAAUGAUGGCCAGGCUGUCUCCACCCGAGACUCAGUGAAAUUGAACUCGCUGUGAAGAUGCAGUGUACCCGCGGCAAGACGGAAAGACCCCGUGAACCUUUACUAUAGCUUGACACUGAACAUUGAGCCUUGAUGUGUAGGAUAGGUGGGAGGCUUUGAAGUGUGGACGCCAGUCUGCAUGGAGCCGACCUUGAAAUACCACCCUUUAAUGUUUGAUGUUCUAACGUGGACCCGUUACCCGGGUUGCGGACAGUGUCUGGUGGGUAGUUUGACUGGGGCGGUCUCCUCCUAAAGAGUAACGGAGGAGCACGAAGGUUGGCUAAUCCUGGUCGGACAUCAGGAGGUUAGUGCAAUGGCAUAAGCCAGCUUGACUGCGAGCGUGACGGCGCGAGCAGGUGCGAAAGCAGGUCAUAGUGAUCCGGUGGUUCUGAAUGGAAGGGCCAUCGCUCAACGGAUAAAAGGUACUCCGGGGAUAACAGGCUGAUACCGCCCAAGAGUUCAUAUCGACGGCGGUGUUUGGCACCUCGAUGUCGGCUCAUCACAUCCUGGGGCUGAAGUAGGUCCCAAGGGUAUGGCUGUUCGCCAUUUAAAGUGGUACGCGAGCUGGGUUUAGAACGUCGUGAGACAGUUCGGUCCCUAUCUGCCGUGGGCGCUGGAGAACUGAGGGGGGCUGCUCCUAGUACGAGAGGACCGGAGUGGACGCAUCACUGGUGUUCGGGUUGUCAUGCCAAUGGCACUGCCCGGUAGCUAAAUGCGGAAGAGAUAAGUGCUGAAAGCAUCUAAGCACGAAACUUGCCCCGAGAUGAGUUCUCCCUGAGACUUAGAGUCUCCUGAAGGAACGUUGAAGACGACGACGUUGAUAGGCCGGGUGUGUAAGCGCAGCGAUGCGUUGAGCUAACCGGUACUAAUGAACCGUGAGGCUUAACCUU